AUGUCGUGGUGUGGUCACUUGACCAGCAUCCCCUUGAACCUCUCCCAUAUUUCUUACAGUGUUUCCGCUGGUUUCUGCCUGAAGCUUAAGAUCUCAUCAAUUU
rnacentral:snoRNA from 1 species